rnacentral:lncRNA from 1 species
ACUGGCCUAUUAAUUCAAAACUAGUUUCCUUACUAUGCAAGGAGCUUUACUAGGCAGUAAAAUGAAUACAAAGUUAAAUUUAGUAUGGGAGAAGAAAUGUUUGUAAAUAUCUGUAAUACAAAGAAUCAUGUUAAAAAAAAUAGCAUAGAAGAAAAACAGGUAACAUGGAGAUUUAGACCUUGAAAGGUUUGGGCAACAUUCUAACAGUCCAAGUUGGGUAAAGAAGUUUAAGGGGAAGAAAUAGUAUGAACAAAUACAUAGAGGCAGGAAAACUUGUAGCGUGUUUGAAGAAUGGUACAAGUACAGUUUCUCCGAAGUGUAGGGUUCUGAAAGUAGAUGGUGUUUGGAAGAUAACACUGCAAAGUGCAGGCAUGCCACAGAGAAAUGUCUUAGAUGUAGUAGAAAGAACAGACCCAUAUAAGAAGACUUGCAAUCAGGUUUUUCCCUUAUUUCUGGGUGAUGAUUUCUGCAACUGGAAAAUAGUAAUAAAUGUGCCCACCUCACAGUGACCUAUGAUGGUGUCUGUGUUUUCUAAACUGUAAAACACCAUGCAAAUACAAGAUACAGAUGUCCUCCUCCUCGUGGCACCAAAAUUCUGUGUGGCUUCCUUUUUCUCCUCCUCUCUCCCAAGUUUUUCAAAUGUGGCUUUUCCCACUGAGUUUACUGCUCCCUGCCCAUUUCCUGCCUUUGCUUAUUACACGGAGAACUGGCUCUCUGGGCAGUGCUCCCUAUGCCAGUUGGCAGACAAAGUCCUUAGAAGGCAGAUGCUCCAAUUCUGACAUCAUCACCAAAAUCUCUUCUAGUUUUCUGAGAAGAGCCCUCUCCUACCCCCAUCUUGCAAGGGAACUGGUACCUUUCUUUCCGUGGCUCUCUGUCCCUCCCACCUCAUUUUCCCUCUGAAGGAGGUAGUUCAUUCCCCACUGAGUUUGCCAGCAGGAACACCCUCUCAUUUCCUCCCUGUCUGCCUGCUUCUCCUUCUCCCCUUUCCUCCUCAUGUGAUCCAUGAAAGUUUUACAAAGGACUUUGACUCAGGCCAAGAGAAAACAAAAGAUUAGAAAAGAAGAGUCUAGUGAAUGCAUGGUUUGAUUUGAAAUACAUUUGCCACGUUGCCAGGAACAUUUUGACUACACAGCUUCUAGUUCCUUUGUGAAUUCUCAGAUAGCCCAGUCUGACUCCUUUUCUUUUUCUUUCCUGGGUGAGUCUUCCCUUCAAUUAUGUACCCUCAUCUUUCGGUUCUAGGAUCUUUUGGUUCUAGGAUAGGUUAAUGGAAAUAAAUGUAGUGAUGAAUGAUACAAGUUGUUACGUAGCAGGACAAGCCGCAGACAAAACUCCUCAGACACCAAGUUAAAGAAGGAAGGGGUUUAUUCGGCCGGGGGCAUCGGCAAGACUCCUGUCUCAAGAGCCGAGCUCACCGAGUGAGCAAUUCCUGUCCCUUUUAAGGGCUCACAACUCUAAGGGGGUGCACGCGAGAGGGUCGUGAUCGAUUGAGCAAGCAGCGGGUACGUGACUGGGGGCUGCAUGCACUGUUAAUUAGAUCAGAACAAAACAGGAUAGGGAUUUUCACAGUGCUUUUCUAUACAAUGUCUGUAAUCUAUAGGUAAAAUAACCGAUUAGGUCAGGGGUCGAUCUUUAACGACCAGGCCCAGGGUGUGGCGCCGGGCGGUCUGCUUGUGGAUUUCAUUUCUGCCUUUUAGUUUUUACUUUUUCUUUCUUUGGAGGCAGGAAUUGGGCAUAAGGCAAUAUGAGGGGUGGUCCCCUCCCUUAGUUAAUUGGCUAAGGAAUUUAGAAAGAUGGUGGUUUUCAUUAUGUCAGUUUCAGCAACUUAAGAUGGUUUCACUUAUUCAUCAGUGACUUUUUUUCCCCCAAAUGUCCUUGGUAAAAAUGACAGGGGCUAUUUACUUAAUAUUAGUAUUUCCCACAGCAUAGCAUUUUUGGUAACAUAACAAUUUAAGGCCCCUAGGGAGCAUUUAGAUGGUUUUUCAUUCUGGUAAGAGUUAGAUUAAAAAUUGCAGUCUUUUUAUUUUUUGGAUCUAGACCUCUAGAGACGAGACCAUUCCAGACCUGCAUAAAAUUCCUUCAGCCAACUUCUCCUUCAAGGAUUUUGAGAAGGUCAUCCUAAGAGCCUAGCCUAAGCUGCAGCAAGGUUGCAGUGGCCAUAAUCUACCUGGCGUGUUGUUUCUGUUGAUUUUUCCCCAAACUUCUCUGAUCCUAGUGUGGGGUAUGUGAAAAAGGGGAGACGAGGGGUAGGGGAGACGAGGGGUAGAGGAGGCCCUCACAAAACAGUGUCAGUGAAUCUCGUAUUUGGUUUUCCGAAGGCAUGUUGCUAGCUGCAGAUUGCUGUCUAGAUUUCUUGCUGGGAAGCUUAAUCUAAUAAAAAAUCUUUCAACAUUUCUGCAGUUCUGUUCUAAAUCAGUGGGAAUCAGGUGAUACUUUGGCUGUUUUACCUGUUCUUUCCUCUUAUAUGACCAUGAAAAUGUUAAAAUAAUAGGUACUCCUGACUGAUGAAUCUCUGACAGAUGCUUUCUCAUUUGGGUCCCUGGGCUGUUUGUGACUUUACAUUCCUUAUUUCAUUUUUAAAAGUCAUUUUUCAAAAUGUUUUGUCAAAUAUAUAGAUGAUAGAUAAAUAGAGAGAUAGAGUCUGUUUCUUGAUAAGCCACACUGACAAAUUUUGCAAACAUCAGAAUCUGUUGCUUCUUCCUAGGCCAAGGGAAGUGUGUCAUUUAUCAAUCAAACUGGGUAGUAGCAGUUGAAGAAGAGCUGUAACUGUCAUCCUAGCAUAGUUUAUAACAGCAGAAGAUUCAAAACAAGCUAAAUAUCAAUAUGGGGAUGGUUAUGAAAAUCACAAGGAAAUACUAUACAGCCAUUUUAAAAGAAUGUUUCAAAUGAAUAAUUAUUUACAAAAAGAUGUUCACAUAUUUUAUUUCAUAAAAGGGACUUUUAAAAAUCAUAUUGACUAUUCUAUGAUUGCAUUUUUAUAAAAAUAAAAUAUGUACGUAGGAAAUUUAUUUGAAAAUUGUGUUAGUGGGUCACCUUAAUGGUAUGAUAGUGGAUAUUAUUUUCUUCUUUCUGUUUAUCCACAUAUUCUGCUUUUUAUAAUGAAAUUGUAUUGCUAUUGUAAUUCUUUAAGUUACUUAAAAUUUAACUACAUACAGUAGAAAAACAAAUAUACCACCAAUAACCAGGAACAAGACAGUACCAUGACAUAUGGUGAGGAGUGGAUCUAGAUAUGAUACACGCGUUAGUAACAUAGGUCAAAAGACUCUGCUGGUAGUGCUGAGAGACUCCUCUAAAAAGCCAGCCAAACUGGAGGCCAGAUCAGCAAGAGGAAUUGAAGAAGCUGACCAAGACUAGGGAGAAGGGACCAAGGCACGUUGUACUUCUCUUGAGCCUGGAAUCAGGUUUGCAUUGGAAAUAAGCUGGAAAAGAAAAAGUGGCUCCAUAUUUUAAGAGCUAAAAGACUGUGGGUACUUCUGGGUUACUUUCUUUCAAUAACUGCAGAAGAAAUGCUGUUUCUCCAAGCUGGCACUGGUGUCAAAUGAACAGAGGGUCUCCCCAUUCUGUUAUUUUCCUGGCAGUUGAAACAUCCGUUGGCUCAGCUGUUUAAUGUGUAAGUUCAGUGUCCCACAGGCCAUUCUCCAUAAGGCAGCAGCUACCCAACCAUGAUAAAUUUAGUGUCAGGUCUGCAUUCAGAGCACACUGUGUCCCACUUUAAGAAAUUGCCCUGGGUCAUGUAGCUAGUUGUAGAAGUCUGUGCAAAUGCUGGUGAUUCCCAGGGAAGAAAGAUAAUAUUUUUCUUUGACCUGGAUCUCUGUUUCUAUUGAUUCUCAGAGUGGUUCUCCUGGUGAGAAUCCUUUCCACUUCUGAAUGCUUUGUGCCACUUGUCUCAGGGUAGGGCCUGAGUAUUGUCACAUUUAUGAAACUAUACAUAUGUGGUUCUGAUAUGCAGCUAGCAUUCAGAAGACUGAUCUGGAACGGUCAGGCUCGGCAAAUGUAUGUGGAUACAUAGUAAUGAUAACAUGAAAACUUUCAAGUGCGUAGAUGGUUUCACACCCACAAUCAGUUGACAGUGCUUCUUGUGUUGAUUACCCACCUGUGAAAAUGGAUUUGCAGCAAUUCCUCUUCCCUAGUCCUCACUGUGAGCAAUGGAAAACUUAGUUGAGAUGAGCUUUGACUAUGGAAUGAGACAAGCCAAUUAUUCCAUGUUGGAACUGCCUCUGAAUUUUAUUAUCUAUAAUGCUUGUUUUUAUCAACUUAGAAAACUGACCUGAAAGUCAUAAGCUAAACCAUCAAUGGGCACAUUAGCUCAUGACAUGUAUACACUAGCAGCUGACAGUGGAAUACAAUUCAGAAAGAGAGAAAAGGAAGGGGUGGAGUCAGACACCUUCUUGGAUAUCUACUAUGUGCCAGGAAUUACUUUAAACACUGUGUAUCUGUUCUCAUUCAAUCCCUACAACAAUACUUCACCUUUUUUCUGUUCAAUAAAAUUAACUGAUCCACGGAUCCACUCUUUGCACAGAGCACUGAAAUAUUCUCAUCAGCAACUUUCAGUUAAGCAAUAUUUAGACAUUACUUUUCCAGGGCCAUGGAAAUUGCAGAUUUAAACCCUGAAACCUGUCAAACCUUGUGCAAAAUGACAAAGCCCACCUCCCCUAACACCGUCCUGAACAGUGGAUCCCUGUGGACUAGCUAGAAGACCAACCCAAAAAGUCAGGUCAUUAUCACUGGAAUAAUUGUCAUUGAUACAGCAACUACAGUUUCUCUUGCUGGUUUGCUUCUUUAACUUCUCUUGUUUUUUUUUUUUUUUUUUUUUUUUUUUUUAGUUAUUAGAGAUGAUGGAGGUUAAAAGGAUGCUGCUUAACAAAGAUAAAAGCUCACUUAGACUAGUAAUCUUUUUUUCUUUUUAAAGAAACAUAGGAUUACAGAAAUAUUUAAUGAAUUAAUAAGGUACUUCUCAACACAUUUUUUUCAUUGCCAACUAGUUUUUCCAGGUUAUGUACAUAAUUGAAAAAGUGUUGUGUUGCGUGUUAUGCUUUGAUGCAGUCUUGUUUUGUAAUCCAUUGCUUUCAAAUUUCUAUCAUCAUCUUCUAAUUAUCUUAAAUUUGCACUGUGCUACUAGAAUAGAAUGAUGGUAUUAUUACUAUUAUUACUGGCAGCAGAAUUGAAACCUGGAGUAUAAGUGGUUUGCAGACCAUUCAUAGAUUCAUGUAACCGUAGAGAUUCAUGGUUGAGUAGUUGAGCACCUGACUUCUAUGGGAAAAGCAGCGCUCUUCAAGUUACUGCCUAAUUAACAAACACACUUCAUGGAUUGAGGAUUUAAAGGGGAAGAAUGGUCAUGCUUAGUACAAUUGAAUGCAUAUUUGCUACUAAUUACAUAUACCUCACAUUUUCUCUUAGAGACCAACUGCUUUAAAAAUAUUUUAUUAAAUGUUUUUGUUACCCUGACAGAGAUACAUUCCUUUAAGGGUGUUUUCAGCAAAACAUUCAAGUUUUCAGGAAGUAUUAUCUUUCUUUCCUUUUACCCCUUUCCCAUUUCCAUGAAAUUAAAAGGAAAUGCAUAGCCAAGUGUUUUUUCCCAGAAGAAAAUAAUAAGAAAUAUGCUGAUUUUACAGAACAGUAUGAACAGUUAUAAGGGUCUAUGUAAAAGGCAGCGUGUGUUCAUUCUCCAUGCAUACUAUUAGUAAAAAUGAAUGGACUUUCUCCUCAUCUGUUUUUAUUUAGAGCAGGACCUUCUUGCAUUGAAUUUCCUGUGUCAGCUGUGUUCUAAUUCUGUAAAGCCUUUGGUUAAGGAACAGCUCUGACUCUAUAUCCCUAUCUUUUCCUUUCCCAUGUCUUAAUUUUGAGUUCUUAUCACUCUGAUAAUAAGCAGACAUUUCUGAAAAUCAGAAAUCCUGCAGUUCCACUUUAGUUUUUCUUUCUCUUCCACUACCUUUCCUCUCUUAGAACAGUAAAUAUGUCAGAUGGGAACCUAAAGUCAACCUCUGUGCUGUCUUGCUCUGACUUAAAUGCUCUCAUCCAAGUAGGUGGCAUUUCUCAUGAGGGGCCAGACAGAGUUAUGGAACACCACAAGCAGGGUAGCCUUCGGAUUUGACUUGAGAAAUUAGGAAGAAUCUGGUGGUCCUGACUAAGAGUGCCAGUGAUAAAAAUCCAGAAAAAAAUAGAGGUGAUGCUAACUUGUAUGUUUUGGAUUUUGUAACUUUGUUCUUGACAUGUUAUAACUCUGUAAAACGGAGCUAUAAAAUAGAUUAGACAGUUUACAUAUUUUUUAAAAUCUGAAUGAGUUCAUAUAGUUCAGCUAAAGAUGAAACACUGAUAAAAUUCAGUCAGUAUCACUAUUGAUUUGACAACAUUUCUCCUGCUCCUCUUUUGUCUGCUGACUCCUGCCAGCAAAAUAAAGUAGAUUUACUAGUACACUAUAAUCUUUAGAGUUCUUACAAGGCACAAACAAGUGAGGAAAAUCCUGGAAGCUUAGAUUAGAUUGUAAAUAUGAAAUAUUGCAAACUGAUAGCUUAAGGCUGGCACCAAAGGGUUUAAGAAUUGAAUGUUCAUAUCACCCUCUACUAAAUAUGUAGGACACUUACCGUGAGACUGGGGAUUAGGGAUUCACAACAUUAUAAAGGGUAAAAAAAAAAUCCUUUCUAUACAGCCAACUAUUGAUCUCUACAAAUUGUCCGUAUAGCCUCUCUGUUAAAUACGCCUAUAAAUAGGAUCAACUUUGAAAUAGAAAUAUUUUAGGUUAAGCUUCAGGCCAUCCCUGUGAACUUUAUUUACACACACACACUCAAAUAUAUGUAUAAAAACCUGCAAAAAAUAUAUAGCCACAUUUGUGUAAAUAUGUAUACACACAUAUAUACGUAUGUAUUUAUAUACACAUUUCUAAGACAGUGUGAUAGGUGAACACUUACGUUUCCUAAACUUUAGCUUCAUUAUGUUAUCCUUUGUUCCCUAGAUUCACUAAAUAUUUCACAGCAGGCUCAAGGUCU